GUUUUGUGCAGAAAAACAAAGGCCACUCAUUUAUAUUUGCCCCCUGGCAGGUGAUAGACUUCCCCUGGGUAAUGUCCAAUCGAAGAGAAAUUUUACCCAUUUUACAAUCACUUACCUGCGCGUACAAUGAAAUUAAAAUUCUAUAGCCUUCCAGUAGUUAAUGACUUUGACCCAAGGGAAAGAGGGAAAGUAUUUUUCAGACGGAGCAAAUUAUAAAACCCACAUUUGUUUUGGAUUCCUAAAUUAUUUAUUUAUCUGAGAUGGUUUGGGAAACUGAUGGUCACAUUUACCAACAAAAAAAGAAGCUAUACGGAUACAGGUAAAAUUUUGGAAGACAAAAAAUGCAUAGGCACUGGGAUUUACAAAAACCUAUGAAUACUUUAUGCCUGCCGAUCUACCAUUAGCCGAGGGGGUUGUGCAGAAGUCAAAACUGUAACACAGAUAUGUUUCGUAUCCAAGAAAGAACAGCAAAAACAAACACACAAAAAAGAAAACAACAAAAUAACAGGCCAUCAUUAAAGAUGUCUUAGAAAGUAUUUUACUGAGCUAUGAACCAUUUAUACUUUGACCAAAAGCAAAAUGACCAUGUACCAUACAAUAUGACUUCAAAGGGGCCUAUUCAAUAAAUGGUACAUAGUGGUGGCAAUUUGUACUGAACAGAAAAAUAGUCAGCAAAAUACAUUGGAGAUGGAGAAUUUUUAACGGAGUCUCAAACAUUUUUCAACUCUUUUCAAUUUUAACAGCUCUUCCCAAUUUACUAUAUUUGGAUUCUUAGUAACUAAAUCCCAUCUGUCUUAACCCUUUAUGGAAGUUAUUUGUCAGCUCACUGACUGUUAAGUGAAUAUAUCUAACAUGGAUAUCCACUAAACCGAGAAUUCAAAUGUGAAUUUCAAAUUUAAGGUCAAAGAUGUUUUACUGGAAGCACAGCUGACUGGAAGAAUUUUUUCAGUUUGGUUACUUUGGCCUUAAAGGGACAUUUACUUACUAAACUCCAGAACUUCUGUGAAUUUAUUCCAAAUGUGAAAAGCGUGGUUUGCACAGGAAAUAUUCUCCAGUUUUGCGAUAGUCACAGAUCACGUAUCUUUGCCUCAGUUCUGCCGUUUAGAAUUAAUCCAUGAAAAUCUGGAGUUUAGUGAAUAAAUUCUUUUGCAGUUGUAUCACAUGUGUACCUCAUUGUUUGAUUUGCAAAGCAC